GACGAACGCUGGCGGCGUGCUUAACACAUGCAAGUCGAACGGAAAGGCCCUGCUUGCAGGGUCCUCGAGUGGCGAACGGGUGAGUAACACGUGGGUGAUCUGCCCUGCACUUCGGGAUAAGCCUGGGUAACUGGGUCUAAUACCGGAUAGGAGCCAUUUUUAGUGUGAUGGUUGGAAAGUUUUUUCGGUGUGGGAUUAGCUCGCGGCCUAUCAGCUUGUUGGUGGGGUAAUGGCCUACCAAGGCGGCGACGGGUAGCCGGCCUGUGGGGGUGGACGGCCACAUUGGGACUGAGGAACGGCCCAGACUCCUACGGGAGGCAGGAGUGGGGAAUAUUGAACAAUGGGCGCAAGGCUGAUGCAGCGACGCCGCGUGGGGGAUGACGGCCGUCGGGUUGUAAACUCCUUUCGCUAGGGACGAAGCUUUUUGUGACGGUACCUAGAUAAGAAGCACCGGCUAACUACGUG
rnacentral:rRNA from 1 species